CGGCGGACGGGUGCGUAACGCGUAGGAACAUGUCCGAAGGUGGGGGACAACCCUGGGAAACUGGGGCUAAUACCGCAUAUGACCUGAGGGUCAAAGCAGCGAUGCGCCUUUGGAGUGGCCUGCGUCCGAUUAGCUUGUUGGUGGGGUAAAGGCCUACCAAGGCGACGAUCGGUAGCUGGUCUGAGAGGACGAUCAGCCACACUGGGACUGAGACACGGCCCAG
rnacentral:rRNA from 1 species